rnacentral:rRNA from 1 species
UACAGAGGGUGCGAGCGUUAAUCGGAGUUACUGGGCGUAAAGCGCACGCAGGCGGUCUGUUAAGUUUGGAGUGACAGUUGGUGGCUUAACUGCCAAAGUGCUUCGAAAACUGACAGACUUGAGGGCUUCAGAGGGACACGGAAUUCCGGGUGGAGUGGUGAAAUGCGUAGAGAUCCGGAGAAACACCAAAGGCGAAGGCAGUGUCCUGGGGAGUACCUGACGCUCAGGUGCGAAAGCCAGGGGAGCGAACGGG